rnacentral:lncRNA from 1 species
CCCCAGUCUGUUCAGGGAGGUCCCUGCCUCUUUUCCCCUUGCCGAGUCACAUUAUCGCACUGUGCAAAGAAGCAAGGGAAGUGGGGAGAGCGGCCCCUAGGAGAGUGUCACACCCCCUCUCCCCACUCUCUCGGCCCCCAAGAAAAGGCACUGAGAGUUAGUCCCUCCCCUGGGGUGGGCGCGUCGGAUCCCGGGUGCAGAUGGACUGCAGGCUAAGCGGGGAGAUGAAGACCAGGCGCAGAGGAUUCCGUAGGGCCUGCACUCUGCCGCCCACCUGCCAAGCUGCUUCGGAAGUUCACUUGCAUGCUCUUGGAGACCGAAGGCUCCUCCCAGAACAGCCUCACCAGAGAUAACUUCGUAGUGGACUCAGAAGUCUGCAACAGGUGGCACCCAACGUGGGGCAAUUGGGAGCCUGAAAGAGUGGUUUCCCCCGGUGAGGAGCCCUUGACCAAGGUGGGCUGCCUGGCCAGCAGCUGUGAUGCGGAGCGCUCCAGCCGUCUGAAACAAGACUGGAAACGGGGUCGCUGGAAAGUAGCGACUCCCGCUGUUUGA